AGGGGAACUUGGCAACACCGGCAACGAGUUUUCCUGCGCAUGUGCUUGAGACGAACGAGAAUGGAUAUUUUCCCAAAUGCUGUCUCUUAAUAAAAUUAGAUACAGAGCUCCUUGUCUUCCAGGGAAAGUGACAGGAGCCAGGACAGGUGAGACCUGCCUUUCCUGGAGCCUGCUGUUCCUAUCAACAGGGGUUUCAUUCAACACAGAUGUCUGUCAUGAAGAAUUUAAGUUUCACAUUUUCGUCUGUCAGUCUUGAACAGCCUGUCAUCUGGAGCUUGAAGUACAGUUUGCCAACAGGCUUUUAGGCCACAAUGAAAAUACAAUCUUAUAUUUGUGCUACCAGGCUCCAAGUAAUCCUCCGCUUUCCUCCUCACUGGCCCAGUUAUGAUCUGGCUUAAAUUACAUUUUUUUUUUUUUUUUUUUCCGGAUUUUGCUGAUAAAUGCUAUCAGCAAGAGUGAAAUGAAAUAUGGGAGGUCCAGCUCUUAUUAAGAGAAUAUAUAUUUUCCAUUUUAAAGAGAAGGGUUGUUCAUAUUUUAGAGUGUGCCUCCAUAUCAUAAAAUAAUGAGUAUAUUGUUAAUAUUUUAAAAAAUGUAACUUCAGAAUUCUGCCAGUAACUGCUGCAUGUCCUGUAAUUAUUUAUUUGUCUUAAGUCAAGUUCCAGAUCAAAAAGUAUAUCAAGUAACACACACAGCAUUACUAAUAUGAAUCUUUCCAACCACAGUGACAUUUAUUUAUUUAUUCAAUCUUUGGUAUGAUUUUAAAAAAACUUAAAAAAAAAAUGUUUGAAGUAAAAUAGGGAAGCAAUUAGA